UACGAAGGGGGGCUAGCGUUGCUCGGAAUCACUGGGCGUAAAGCGCACGUAGGCGGAUCGUUAAGUCGGGGGUGAAAUCCUGGAGCUCAACUCCAGAACUGCCUUCGAUACUGGCGAUCUUGAGUCCGGAAGAGGUGAGUGGAACUCCUAGUGUAGAGGUGGAAUUCGUAGAUAUUAGGAAGAACACCAGUGGCGAAGGCGGCUCACUGGUCCGGUACUGACGCUGAG
rnacentral:rRNA from 1 species